AUGUGCUUGAGCAGGCAUUUGGACCUAGGAUGGCGGGUGCAACAUCUCGGGGAGAAUCAAGUCGUCGUAAUGGCAUCUCUAGCCAGAACAGUUCAGUUGGUGCACGGCGACGUGAUGGCUCGACAAGUGUGGGCAACAGCAGUAGGGUCCCCCUUGAAGUGGAGCCUGAUGGCUACAAUUCUGGGGUUGAUGAAGAGAAGUUAUAUUCUGAUGUUAUUCAGAAUUUACGACGGGCACCUAGGGCUGAAAACCAAGAUGAGGCUCACAAUGCAGUCCGUGUGGAUGAUGACGCGAUGGGUGAGGACGAAGACCUUGCAGCUGUUCAAUGGGACCCUUUGA
rnacentral:rRNA from 1 species